GACGAACGCUGGCGGCGUGCUUAACACAUGCAAGUCGAACGGAAAGGCCCCUUUGGGGGUCCUCGAGUGGCGAACGGGGGCGUAACACUAGAGUAACCUGCCCUUAACUUUGGGAUAACUUCAGGAUACUGGGGCUAAUACCGGAUAGGAAUCCUUUCUGCAUGGUGGGGGUUGGAAAGCUUCGGCGGUUUUGGGUGGACUCGCGGCUUAUCGCCUUGUUGGUGGGGUGGUGUCUUACCGAGGCGUUGUAGGGUAGCCGGCCUGAGAGAGCGACCGGCCACAUAGGGACUGAGAGGCGGCCCAGACUCCGACGGGAGGCAGAAGGGGGGAAUAUUGCACGAGGGGCGGAAGCCUGAUGCAGAAAGGCCGCGGGCGGGAUGACGGCCUUAGGGUUGUAAACCGAUUUCAGCAGGAGCGAAGCUUGUGGUGACGGUACCUGCAGAAGAAGCACCGGCUAACUACGUG
rnacentral:rRNA from 1 species